rnacentral:rRNA from 1 species
GUGGGGAAUAUUGGACAAUGGGCGAAAGCCUGAUCCAGCCAUGCCGCGUGUGUGAAGAAGGUCUUCGGAUUGUAAAGCACUUUAAGUUGGGAGGAAGGGCAGUAAGUUAAUACCUUGCUGUUUUGACGUUACCAACAGAAUAAGCACCGGCUAACUUCGUGCCAGCAGCCGCGGUAAUACGAAGGGGGCGAGCGUUAUUCGGAAUCACUGGGCGUAAAGCGUGCGUAGGCGGUUUUGUAAGUUAGGAGUGAAAGCCCAGGGCUCAACCUUGGAAUUGCUCUUAAAACUGCAAGGCUCGAAUCUCGGAGAGGAUAGCGGAAUUUCCAGUGUAGCAGUGAAAUGCGUAGAUAUUGGAAGGAACACCAGUGGCGUAAGCGGCUAUCUGGACGAGUAUUGACGCUGAGGCACGAAAGCGUGGGGAUCAAACAGGAUUAGAAACCCGUGUAGUCC